rnacentral:lncRNA from 1 species
ACUGUUAGGUAAUGAAAAUGUUAUCAAACCUAACUUUCAUAGCUAGUAUCAGAAGUUGAGUAUAGCUUUUGGAUAAAUUGAUCAAGAAGUCUUAGGCUAACCCAAACAGACUUAAAGGAGAAAUUAGUAAAUAGUUGCUGGUCAAGAUAGUUAUAUGAUAACUCUUUGAAUUUUUUUUGUUGGUAAUACUACUAUCUAGGUAUAGGAUAUCGACAGUAUAAGUCAGUUUGCAAAUAGUUAUAAAAGAUUUCAAGAUAGUAGAAGAUUUGAAAAUGGCA